rnacentral:lncRNA from 10 species
GAGUUCUGCCUGCCGGGGGCGCGGGCGGGUGUGUGAGAGAGAAGGCGAAGGGAGCCGCGGGGUGGGAGAGGAGGGAGUCCCGGCGGGAGGGCGGGGGAGAGGCUGGCGGGAGGGGGGCUCCACGGAGCUCCAGCCAGGGCCGCGGUUCGCCUGCACGUCACGGCUACUCAAACCCAAGCACGUCCCGAAAGCGGUAUUUUCUGCGUCUGGGAGGUUUUUGCAUCCUCAGUUCCCACCGCUGGGGCUGGCGGCGACCAACUACCUGUCGCAGCCAGAGAGCUGUCAUUUCAGUACCGGGAUUCAGAAUUGAUCCAGUCCGCAGCGGAGGGGGCACAUCCCAGCUACCGAGCUGCUGAGUGUCUCUGGCUGGAACAAUAGUAUUUUUUUCUCUGCGAGGCUGCAAUUAACAUCUUAUUUGUUCUGGCUCCAUACAGGCUUUGUCAGGAUCGCGGUGCGGCGACCGACGUUGGGCUCUUGCAUUGCUUUGUGCUUGGCAAUGGAAUCAUGGUUUCGGGGUCUAAACUUUUGUUUCGUUUUGUAGUCUUAAUGUAUCUGAUUCUUUUUCAAGUUUCCCUAGUAACAGGUUUGGGGACGGGGUGGGAAGAAGCGAGAAAAGGGGUGAAGAGAAAAAACCAGAUUAUAUAGAAAGGAAAAAGGGAAAAGGGAUGUUUCCCCACCUUUUAAUCUAACUAUCUAUCUGUCUGUCUAUCUAUCAUCAUAGAUAGUCAUUUUGCCUCCUGGACAGUUGGCUGACGAAGUGUCUGAUAAACCAGCUUCAGAUACAUGCUACAAAAGGCUACUGAGCUGGCCUGAUGAUGAUCCUUCUGAGAUAUAUUUAUAGCAGAUGAUUUGUGGAUGAUAACUACGCCAAGCAAGACACUGUCUCCAGUAACCCCAGGCUCGUCUGACUUCCUCAGGGGAUUAUAAUAAAGAAUCACAAAAAGAACCCUAUAUGGACAGUCUGGUCUCUGGACACUAACAACAGCACAAUCCAAAGGCAAAGAAAGGAGGAACCACCUUGUUUCAUGUCUGCAAGCUGCUCCAUAUGAAAGCAUUGCUGACAUGUUGACCCAACAGCAAAAAGAGAGCAGCAGUUUACACACCCUCAGCUCUCUGUCCUUUCCUUUCUAUUGAUGUUGGUCCACUUUUAUGACUGAAUACAUAUUAAAAUCACC